GUGACGCGGUGCGACUCGGGAAGGCGGCGGGCGGGUGCAGCCCUCGGCGGCGGAGGGCGCCAUGGUGGGUGGCGAGGCUGCCGCCGCGGUGGAGGAGCUAGUUUCGGGGGUGCGGCAGGCGGCCGACUUCGCGGAGCAGUUCCGCUCCUAUUCGGAGAGCGAGAAGCAAUGGAAGGCUCGCAUGGAAUUCAUCCUGCGCCACUUGCCCGACUACCGCGACCCACCCGAUGGCGGUGGCCGCUUGGACCAGCUGCUGUCCCUCUCCAUGGUGUGGGCCAAUCACCUCUUCCUGGGUUGCAGUUACAACAAAGACCUUUUAGACAAAGUGAUGGAAAUGGCUGAUGGGAUUGAAGUGGAAGACCUGCCACAGUUUACUACCAGAAGUGAAUUAAUGAAAAAGAACAUUUUUAUCCAAGAAGGAAAAUGGCAGCAUGGAAAGUGACUGGAUAUGAAAUGUGAACGAGAAGAAUCCUUCACUGAAAAGCAUGCCACGAAGAAAGUUAUAUUUCAGCAUCAAAGCUAAGGCAGAAGAUUCAUCACAUUUUCAACAUGAGCUACAGGCUUAGGAAAGGAGUCUGGGAUGAAUGUGACAUGGACCACAGCAGCUCUCUUAAGAUUCCUGGUAUUUCCAACAUGUAGGAAGGAGGCAGUUGGAAUGACAAUCUUGUCUAGCUUGGAGUUUUAAAAGGUCUCAUUCUUCCAGUAGCUAUCAUUGUAAAAGUGUGCAUGGAUAUUUAUGUAUUUACAAAUCAUGCCCUCUUUUUUAAUUUUCUCUUUUUGAAUGUCAAACUUUUUGUUAAAAAUGCCUAUUUUUUUAUGUUGUAAUAAUUGCAGGUAGUGAAUUUUAUAAUUUGGACUUUUCAAUAAUAUAUCUUCAAAUCUGA